CGCCACACCGGUUCCUUUUUUCUUCCGCGUCCCCCUGUGCCCCCGAAGCGGUUUCCCCCACCCCCAGCUCGCGAUGCCUUCCCCGUUCCUCCUAUCGCCCCCCAGCUCCCGAUCCGUUUCCCGACGCCGCUCCUCUCAUCACAGGGAACUGGCGCCUCCCGUAGCUGCCGAUCCGUUCCCGACGCCGCACCUCCGCCCGUCGCCGCUCCCCUCCUUCGACGGCGCUCCCUCCUCCCGACGGCAUUCCGCGAGACCGUCCUCCCGUCGUCGUCACCCCCAGGAGAUCCUACUAUGGCCCACCGACGAGAUCCUCCCCUGGCCUGCCUUCAGGUCAUGGAUGAAUCGAUGGCACAGCGUGGAUGAAUCGCCUGCGUAUCCCCGCAUUCAAGGUGACGCCCUGCAAUUCCCGAUGCCGCUCUCUCCUCCCGUCGCUGCCGAUCCUCCUCCGGCCUGCCCUCCGAUCAGGAUGGAUUCUCGGCAGAGAUUGGCCCACAGAUGCAUAUCAACCCAAGCAGGGUGGUGUUCGAGUUGCUUCUGAUUUGGUCGUCAAUCGUGUGCCCUGGUUCCGAUCGGCUCGGCCCUGUGGAUUGGAGACGACGGCCACCAGGGAUCCAAUCUCCUCCGCUGUAGCUUGGGGUUCCUUCCCUGGAGCGGCAGAUUUGUUUGGAUGAGUAUUCAUUGAUGCCUACGGUGCGGUGGACGCCACGAUCUCCAUUGACAGUGUCAUCUUUCAGCAGUACCCAUCAUCACCAUUAGGUGUUUAGGGACAGUUCCCUUUGUUCAUCACUUGAUGGAUUUUGUGCAGAAAGCAUCUGUUUUCCAGUAUAUAGAUUCUGAGUUUCAUGUAAGAAUGGUAUGUUUAGAGCCUAUGUGUAUAGAUUCUUAUAAAAAUAUAAGUUUGGAGUGGCAGGUGAUAGAAAUAAUGAUGCCAUUACGACUCCAUCGGUGUUUAUGAUAUUUAUGAGCUGGCACAGAAAAAAUGUGUGGUGUUUGUAAGAUAAUGAGAUUUUAGCAUCAACAUGUUCUUGGUAUAUGAGACUAGGAAAUUAACAUUACUGUC